CUGGCAAGGGCACCUCUACUGCGUCUUCCUCGGUUUGGAGAAACAAAUCUUCACUGUCUCCUACACUGAUCCCAUGGAGGUCUUAAUCAGAUUUCUUUCUAUAACAAGUUAAAUUGGAAGAAAAGGAUUAUCUGAUGCUGGAAGUUGUUUUUCCAAUCCUGACUCCCAUGGGAGUGAGUCCAGGAAAGGGUUCUGAGAUGUGAGUGAGGAGAUAUUCUGAAGCAUCUUUCUAAAAGGAGAGACAAAGCAUCGCAGUGCUCAGACCCCACAGUGCCUCUAUCCGAGAGAGGGGUUAGUUUAGGCAGGACUUCUGCUGAUUAUGUAGACAGUGUAGAGAGUGCUCGUCCCCCAGAAGAUGGCUGGAGAAGGUGGUCUCCUGCAUGCUAAUAGAGAAGCCAUAAGUAAACAUAUGCUUUUUCCUGAGACUGGCAAUGAAGUCGAGAACUAUCCUCUUCAAAUCACAUGGACACCAGCUCAAGGCUCCUCAAGGGAACUGUUUCCAGCACAAAUGCAUGUUUGGUGGUGUAGAUGUUCAAAGGAAGUUUCAGCACGUCCUGGUCCACUGGAACCAACUGUGACAUGGGAACAGCUGUCAGGACAUGGAGCAUGAAUUGAACUAUGUGUGUAAUGAGCUGAAGCAUCUACCCUCCCUGAGAAAUGUUCAGGGGACUUGGCUAGGAAGACUUUUACUUUUUAGCUCAAUAAAUCGCUCUUUUCAGUUUAAUUGUAA